UCUCUGUAGUCUAGGAGUCACAUAGGGUUGGUGGUAGCCUCUAGCAUACCAGAUUCACAGAAAAAGCAUCCUGUCCAGAAGCUGAGACAUUACUCCCCAGGCUCCAGAAAUUAAUAUACAGUUUUCUUAUGACAUUUCUCCUGCACUGCUGCCAUGAGGAUUCAACUGGUCAGUGUUGUUAUCUAUCUGUAACAGGAAGAGAAGCUUUACAAUAAGGAUAUUAUUUAACAGAGUGGUUUCUGUUUGGCAAUAACUGUGUAAUUCUU